UUUUCAUUUAUAGAAUCAUCUGAACUGGGAAGACCCCAUCACUAUAACUAUAUAUAUUUUUUGGUCAUAAAUGAAGUCUGCACAGUGUGUUUUGUUUUAAUUUGUAGUGUAGGGUUACAAAGUCCUUUAUACUGCAGGUUCAUGUGUUAGUAAUAUUUAAUAUAAGUAAAAUCAUAAUUGUUUUAAACGGCCAGUUUCAAGUUUUUCUGAAGGUGGUUAGACUUGCUAAGGGUAAAUAUUUUUUAUUUGGACAGAUCAAAGAAAGUGUCAGGACCAAGGAAAACUGCCUUGGGGAAAACAACCCUCAAUAAGAAGUUGUGUUUCCACUGAAUGACCCUCUAGUCUUGGCUAAAGGAUAUACAGUUUUUCAUCUUAAAAAUAGGAAGAUUGAUGUGAGGAGAAUAUUUUCUUAUUCCCCAGAUCCCUGGGCAAAUUUUCAGUUUGAUUAAUUGCACUUUUAAAGCAGCUGGAUCUAUGUAAACAGGCUAGUGAAUAUCAAUAAAACUCAAACAUAUAGAAAGCGGCCACUUUAUUUUCAUUGUCAAUAUGAUAGUUCUAAAAUAAUAGAUACUCCUCUACAUUACCACUUUCAUAUAAAGAAAAAUUUUAAAUAUAUUUUGUUACUGAGUGUCCAGGUUACAUCUAUACCAAUAAUAAUAAUUAUUAUAAAAAUAUAACAACAGCAACAGUAAUGGUAACAACAGGCAUGCCCUUUAAAAUAUACAAAUAUUCAAACAAAAUAUACAAAGAAAAUAUUCAUUUUAUGCACAUUAUCAGGUUGGAUUUUUUUAGAAAUCCAGUGGAAUUAUAGAUAAAACAUUGUAAAAUGCCUUUUGCUGAUUAUAAAAUGAGGUCUGGAGAGGUUAAAAAACUUGCCCGAAAUUUAGUGACCAACAAAUGGCUAGGCUGUGACUUACCUUUUCUGUGCUUUUCCCAUUAAUGCUUCACAGCUUCAUCUUCAGACUUCUAGAAGCCAAGGCUUUAUGUUAGCUAUUUGUAAUACAUAUUUUUUUUGUUAAGACAGUUGUUUUUUCUUCUGAUUACCAAUAUAAAAAGUCAUCUUUGUAGAAAACUUGAAAGUAUAGAAGAGCAUAAGGAAGAAAAUAAUAAUCUCUCUACGUCUGGAAUGCAACUAGGCAGAAAUAACAAGCAUUAACUCUUUUCUGCUUGUGUACGUGUGUGUGUGUAUUCAGUAUAUAUACUUAUAUGUGUUCUUAGCGCUUUGCAACCCCCAUUGAAAUGCUAUGAGGUAGGUAGUAUCAUAAUUUCUAUUUUAAGGAUAAGAAAAAUCUGUACUCAGAGAGUCGAAGUAAUUUGUCCAAGGUCGGAUGAUUAGGUCUUCCUUUGUAUCAAAUAUGACUAAGUCCUCUCUCCAGUGGACUCUGGAUCUGAGUGCAAAUGUAUUCCAUUUGAAAAGUUUGAAGUAAGCAUCAAACAGAAUUUAAGUCCUUCGGGUUUCAUUACAGAAGAAAUGAAAAUACCAUCUUUCAUUUGACAACUUCAGGCUUACAAAGAUGCCUUAACUCCCACCUUCAUUGAUUAUUAAAACGUCACAUAUUUCUACACUGUUGAAAAACUUAGAAAUUGGUAUCUGCUCCACUCCUAAGGGACAAGCUCUGUAUCAGGAGAAGUCUGUGACAAACUGAACUAUGUUGAUGAGAGUAAAUGGGCCAAUGCACAGGAACUUUUGAAGACAUAGCCUUUGGCAAAUAUAUAAUUAGAAUAGAGAUCCCAAGUCAGUGCAAAAAAUAGUGUGGCACAAUUGGAGUCUUGAACCAUUCCUCAAAUCACUGUAUUUGGUGGUCUGCUGGAGCAGUACCUCUGCAAUUCUAGUUCUCUUACAACUUUCUUGGGAACCUUGUUAAAAUAUAGGUUCUGACUCAUUAGGUCUGGGGUGGAGCCUGAGAUUCCGGAUGUCUAACAAACUCCUCAGUGGUGUUAACACUAUUGGUCCAUGGAACACUUCCUUGAGAAGCAAGAGUCUAGACCACCUACCCUUGGUAAUAAAAGCAAUGCCAUUGAUAGGCAGCAGUUGCAAUAGUUUGAAAACUUUAUUACUUUUUUUUUGGCCACAGAACUCUUUCUUCAAAUGAAACCCCAAGUGUUACCUGGGUUGAAAGUGUAGUCAGGUGGUUGGGGACUUGCCUUAAACCUGUGUUUGCAUAGCAAGAAUACUGUUUCUAAUUAGUUGACAUGUUUAUUAAUGGUGGUUUGGUGGGAGAUUGUUGAAGUCCAGAGAGGGUAGGACUAAAAGCCUACCUUGACCCCUUCCCCACCCUACCAGCUUUGCCAUUGCUUUCCUGAGAGCCGAAGGCAGCAAGAGGACCUGCUCUGGUUGAAGGAAACCGGAGGAAGGAGGGCAGAAGGGGGGGAGUUGAGAAGAGCUCUGCCUACUUGCCCACCUUUAUUUUCCCAUCCACAGAAAUGGUCCCUGUAGCAUCUCAUAGAAGGAAAGUUACUGGUGAGUAAGCAUGCUGUCUCCAGGGUCAGAUGCCUGGGGCUUCAGCCCAGGUCUACCACGUUUUCAGCAUGACCUUGGUUAAGUGAUUUGAUCAUUCACAAGAUAUCAGUGAAGGUUAAAAAAGAGAGUAACACACUGAACAGAGCAGCUGACCCAUAGUAAAUAUUCAGUGUUUGCUACUAUAAUUGUUCUCAUUAUCAUUAUUAUGACUAUUGUUCAAGUUCUCUAAUGCAGGAAAAAUUGAUGAUGUCAAUGAUUUCAUUCUACUUGUAUCAACGAUCGAUGUCCAUGGAAGAAGAAAUCAAAUGCUGUAUUGCACUGGGUAAAUCUGCUGCAAAAGAUUUCUUUAAAGUUCUCAAAAGCAAAGAUGUCAUUUUGAUAACUAAGGUAUGGUUGACCCAAGCCUUGGUCUUUUGGAUUGCCUCAUGUGCAUACAAAAGCUGAGCAAUGAAAAAGGAAGACAGAAGAUGAAUUGAUGCAUUUGAAUUGGGGUGCUGAUGAAGAAUAUUGAAUAUAUCGUGGGCUGCCAAAGGAACAAACAGAUCAGUCUUAGAAGAAAUACAACCAGAAUGCUCCUUAGAAGGAAGGAUAGUGAGACUUUGGCUCACUUAUUUUGGACGUGUCAUCAGGAAAAAACAAUUGCUAGAAAAGGACAUCCUGUUUGAUUAAGUAGAAAAAAAAAAAGUAGAGGGUCAGUGAAAAUGAAGGAAACUCUCAAUGAAAGGAUGGACACAAUAGCCUCAACAAUGGACUCAAACCUACCAAUGAUCAUGAAGAUGGCACAAGUCAGGCAACAUUUUGUUCUGUUAUACAUAAGGUCACCAUGAGUAGGAGGAGACCAGUCAGCAGCUAACAACAACAACAAUGGAUCAGUUUGAAAACCAUUAGUGUGGUAGAAAGUACACAGAAGCUUAAUCAAAGGAUGUGGGCUCAAAUCCUGGGAGCUCUGGACAUGUUGCUCACUUAACCUAGCAGAGCUCUGGUUCUUUCAUCUUUAAAAUGGAGAUGAUAACAGCAACUCUGUAGAGCUGUUAUGAGGAUUAAAUGAGAUAGUACAGGUGAGAACGUGCUCACCUUGUUGGUUCUGUGAGAUUACACACAGACAUUGGUAUCAUGCCCCCUCAGGCUUGGUUCAGGAAAGAAGAGGAGUGCUGGUCUGCCUUUCCUAUUGUUGGUUUCUACAUGUAUGAAUUCCCAAGGAGUCACCAUUUAUUCUGAAAUAUUAAACAUUUUAUUGGUGUCACAUUUAUGUAUCAUGUUUAUUUGACUUCAAAUAACAUUGAUCCAUUAACCAGAAUGAUAGAGGCAUCCUUCAGGAAUGUUUAAUUGUCACCUUAAGGAAUUAUCUGGGGGCAUCAGUGGUUUAAUGGCAGAAUUUUUGCCUUCCACGUGGGAGACCAGGUUCAAUUCCUGACUAGUGCACCGCGCGCAUAGCCACUGCCCAUCUUUCAUUGGAGUCUGCCGUGGUGCUAUGAUCCUGAAUAGGUUUCAGUGGAACUUCAGACUAAGACAGGCUAGGAAGACCUGGAUAUCUACUUCUGAAAAUCAGCCAAUGAAACCCUUACAGAUCACAAUGGUCUGAUCUGAGAUCUCAGUAAGUGUUAAUUGUUGUUAUAAUGACCUCUGCCUACCUCCUGUGGGUAGGGAUGACUUCAUUAGUUCACUCAUUGGUUCAUAGACACCCCAUGCACCCUCAUGUCUGCUGCUGGCUUCAUGUAGUUCCUUCUCUGAGGGACACUCCCAUAUCACCCUCCUUCCCCAGUGCAUCCGCCCGUUCCAUGCUCCUCCCUCCUUGAGAACUCUGACUGCCCCUGCUUUCAGCGUCUCAGUUCUACCACACUUUCUCUCUCUGCACCUCACGUUCCCCUGGGCCCCCAGGAGAAACGCCUCAGCCUAGGAGCCAGAAGGUACAGAGGUCUGGCCCCUGCUUUUAGUCACUCUGUAAUUUUGGAAAAUGUACUCAACCUCUCUAAGCCUCUAUGACCUUAUUCUUAAACCAGAGGUAAUGUUGUUUUUGAAGCAUUGUUGUGAAAAUUAAAUGGCAACAGGUAUUUAAGGUACUCGGUGGGUAACAGGCACUCUGUGAAUGUCAGCCAUUGAAUCUUUCCAAUACGUUAUUCUGCUCGGUCCCCACAGCAACCUGGGUGGCAGGGACCACUACUUAACAGAUGAAAACAUUGAGAUAUGGGGGUGAAGUCACAGACCUGAGGUCACCCAGUUAGUAAGGGGCUGAGUUAAACUUGAAUCUAGGACUUCAGAUUUUAGAUCUCAUGAUUUAUUCACUGUAAAUUUACAAAAUUAUCGCCGACUGAUCUAGUAAAAAAAAAAAAAUUUAGGCUCUUAAAAUUUCUUAAAUUAAUUCAAUUAAAAAAAUAGAGUACUAUGAUAUUCUGAUUUUUUAUUAUUUGCAUCUUAUGCUAGGUUUUGGUUGCCACAGUAUCUGGAAAAAAUUGAUAAACCUUUUAUUAAAAACCCACUGCCGUCGAGUUGAUUCUGACCCACAGCAACCCUAUAGGACAGAGUAGAGCUGCCCUGUAGGGUUUCCAAGGAGGACCUGGUGGAUUCGAACUGCCAAUCUUUGGGUUAGCAGCUGUAGCUCUAAACCACUACGUCACCAGGAUUUCCAAAUCUUUUAUUAGAAGGGGAAAAAAUAAGUGGAUAGAGAAGUUGCUUUCUCAUAGCUGGGCACCAAAUGGAUUUCCCAGGCUGUCUUACUUUAGUGGAGCUCCAGACCCCAAACAUUAGCAGCACAGGCAUUCAAAGGCCCAAAGGGUGAAGAAUUCUUUUCUGCCACACUUGUAAUAUUUCCUGUCACCAGAAUCUGGGCACAAGAGUAAUAAUAAUAUAAAGCUUAUCUUUAAAAAGUGCUUUCCGGCAUAAACCCAAAGGCAUAGAGAAUAUUUUUGCAGCGCUGUGCAUCAGUCAAUGUAAAUGAGCCAACAACCCUGUGAGGCAGGAGAUGCCAACAUAGACUCAAGCGUCCACCUGAUCCAAGAAGCUCACUCUUCACCAGCAUCCCUCUCCAACACCUUGUCCAGGCCAAUCCACGUCUGAAGAGUUGGCUUCGGGAAUGGUUCCUGUCCUAGGCUAACAGAAGGUUCUGGAGAUGUGAGUGGGCUGUGUGGCUGGCUGCUUCUCCCUGAGGAAACUGCGGCCGAACGCCAGGACCAGCCCGCCACUGCCGCCACAGCCGCCACAGCCGCCACAGCCGCCGCCACUCUGGGAUGGUGCCUGAGGGCUCCCUGUGAUUCAGAACCAUGCUUGGUGAAUAUUUGGAGCUCAGAAAAUAAUUGUUGAAUAAAUGACACAGCCAUUAGAUUCUGGUGCGUCUGUUCUUUCUACUGGCAAAUGUAGGUGUUCAACAAACACUUCUCAUAUGAGUUUUUUUAAAUAGGAAAGUAAGGAGUCCCUGGGUGGUUCAAAUGGCUAAUGUGCUUGACUACUAACCAAAAAGUUGGAAGUUCGAGUCCACCUAGAGGCGCCAAGGAAGAAGGGCCUGGUGAUCUACUUCUAAAAAAUGACUCCACUGAAAAUCUUACGGAGCACAGUUCUACUCUGACUCAUGGGGUCGCCUAGAGUUGACAUAAACUCUACAGCAAUCCAUAACAACCGAUACAUGAAAGUAGCUACAGAAAUCAUGAAACAGGUCAUGGUUCUACCCUUUGUCUAUAAAAACUGCAUUCUUGUCUAUCCAAUUAGGAAUCAAAAAACCUACCACUAUAAUUUUCAAUGAAUAUGCUCUAUAAUGCCUUUGUGAACAUUUUGAUUAUUCUGUUAAGUGUGUUAUAAAACAAAAACUAGGUAGAUGAUAGGAUCCAGUGGGAAGAGAAUUCUGGUCCAGGUUGGAGACCUUGGAGAUAAGAAAGAAGGUAAAAGUUCGAAAGCAAAAUUUGGAGGAAAAUGAUAUUGAGCGUGGACUAGAGAAUGCACGCUUGUGCCAAGUGUCAGAAGAAGGCCGAGGAAAAGAAGCUCGGAGAGGAUAGGCUGACCGAAGAGGGCUGCAGUCUGGUUUAGACCUGGGUAGUAUGGUGUGCUUUUUUUUUUGUUUUAGUAUGGUGUGCUUAACACACCAAGACCAAGCAAAAAAUAGCAUAGAUAUUCGCUCCAGGAAUACAUGCUUCCAGAAGAUAAACCUGUGUACAAAUGAAAUAGCUUUAUCAGCCUUAACAGUCUAUUCGUCAGUACUUGCUUCAAGGCGUUUACCUUCCUGAGCCCACCAAUCCAAACCUAUUAUGUCAUUAAAAAAAAAAAAAAUUCAAUUGCCGUUGAGCGGAUUCUGAUUUAUGACGAUCCCCUGUGUGUCGGAAUAAAACUAUGCUCCCUAGGUUUUCAAUGGCUGUGACCUUUCAGAAUUACAUCACCAGGCUUUCUUCAGGAGCACAUCUGGGUGGAUUUGAACCACUGAUCUUUUGGUUCGUAGUUGAGCACUUAACUGUUUGUGCCACCAUGAUCGUGUUGUGUGCCAUCCGGUUGAUUCUUCUUCACAGCAACCCUGCAUGACAGAGUAGAACUGCCCCAUAAGAUUUCCUAGACUGUAAUCUUUAUGGGAGCAGAUCGCCUUGGUCUUUUCUCCCUCAAAGCCAUUGGUGGGUUGGAAUCAAUGACCUUUUCUGUUAGCAGCCUAGUGCUUAACCAUCACACCACAGGAGUUCCUUAAAAAAAAAAUUUUUUUUUUCACCUGAGGUAAUAUAUAUAUUAUGUAAUAAACUGUCUGAUUUCAAUCAGUUUCCUGCUUGUAAGUCUUGCCUCAAAAUCACCUAGCCCUGGCCUUAAAACAGCCUGAGAAACAUCCCUUUUGGGCCUUCUCUCCAUAGAUGCCACCAGGCCUAGCAUGGUGCUCUGCUUUACUGUAGGAAGCCCCAUACAUUCAGCUUUGCUUGAUCAACAGGAUUUUUCUGAUAGUCGUUUUGGUGGUUGACGGUAGACCCUUGACUUCAUCUCUCCUUUCUGUCUCUCUUGCCCAUUUGUUUUCCUCUGUAGAAAUGGUACAAGCACUCUGGGUGGGCAGGUCCAGAUCAUAUAACCAUAGUCUUCAGGACUUCACUAGUUAAAGAGGACAUCAUGGCCCGGUACAAGAAUCCCUGCAUGUUGAGGGUAGAAGGCUUGGGUUGGGGAUAUCACUUUGCUAGUAACCACUAAUUAUGUGUAAAUGAAAAAAAACCCAGCAACUACUCAUGGCAACCCUAUGUGUGUCAGAGUACAACUGUGCUCCACAAGGUUUUCAAUGGCUGAUUUUUCAGAAGCAGAGCACCAGGCCUUUGUCUCAAGGCACCUCUGGGUAGGCUAGAACCUCCAAACUUUCAGAUAGCAACUGAGCUCAUGAACCAUUUGCACCGCCCGGGGACAUCAGCUCUGGGUAGCCUAGAGUAUUCUCUAAUCCUCCACUUUCUCAACUGUAAAGUGAAUGUGACAAUAAUCACUGCCUAGCCCAACAUGGAAACCCUGGUGGCAUAGUGGUUAAGAGCUAUGGCUGCUAACCAAAAGCUUGGCAGUUAGAAUCCACCAGGUGCUCCUUGGAGACCCUAUGGGGCAGUUCUGCUCUGUUCUAUAGGGUCACUAUGAGUCGGAAUUGAAUCGACGGCAAUGGGUUUUUAGCCCAACAUGCAGUAUUGUUGCCAGGGUUAAAUGAGAUAGUGUAGGUAAGAGCCUUGUGAAACUCAGUCUCUAGACGUGAGCUGUAACCUCCCCUUGGAUGCAGUGAAGGUGAGGGAGGAAAAGCAAGCGGCUGAAGUCUGAGGACCAACAGACAGACAGACACUUUCCCAUCCAGAUUCCUACAUGCCUUUGGCCGUGACUCUCCCGCUGUCUGCAGAAGCUCAGUUUCUCAGCAGGCUGGGUACUGAGCUACGUGAUUUCACUCCUUUUGCAGCAAGGGUUCCAAGAUGGAAAUCCUGGUCAGCUGCAGUUGCUGGUCUGGUUGGAUUCAGAUCCUGCAAGUCGAGAUAACCAGUUUUGCAAACUCUGUGGUUAUCGUUCUUCUUCUUCUUUUUUUUCUUUUCUUCUCUAAGGCUCAUUUACCUGUGCAGGUGGCAGGGUGUUCACAGGAUGCCAGUAGUAACACCUUUGAGCCGACUUCACCUCAGGGCCCCAGAAACCCUUCUUGGGCCUGAUUCCAGUCAUUCCGACAAUGUUGCCCACAGAUGUGCCAGCUGGAAUUCGUACAAAGGGGCUCAAUUAUGUUAAUUCCCAUGUUCUGGCUUUGUUUGUUCAAAAGAAAAAAAGAAAAGGAAACUCCUAUUCGAGUUGAAAAUCACGAUGAGGCAGAGUCCAGAGACACUUGGCUUAGCCAUCAUCUCCGUUUUUGCUGGCUACCCAGACAAGGCAGGAUUUUCUCCACCCCCAUCCGCUCUUGCUUUUUAUUUUCCAAGGGCUGGAAGAGUAUUCCAAGAAGACUGCUGUGAUGGAGGGUUAUCGAGGACUUAAAGAAUACCUGCUAUCUUGUGAGCGUUCUCCUAACUGUUUUCAUUAUGAUUCAUGUCAUUACAAUAUUAAUGUGUUUUAAUGAGGACAGUUGUCUUCUUGCUGUUUGUGUGUGUCAUAAAUCCGGAGGAGAAAAAUACUGAAACCUAAAAGGGCGUGUGUCUUUACUAAUGCGUUUGGAGGCAAACCAAAUGGUGCAUUUCUUUUCAGAUGCCUUCUGCUUAGCUUUCUGAUUUUUGGUCCAGGGCUUUCAAAAAACAAAUAUAAUAAAAAUAGAAUGGCUUCCUUUUGUAAAGGGUUGCUUAUGUGUCUCCUCCGAGGGCUGGUUUUAUUGUACAAAAGCCGACUCCUGGGCCUGGGUGUAGGGACUCAUUAGUCAUUAAGGAAUUUACUCUUGGCACUAAGGAAUAAUGUAAUGCAGGUUUAAUUAAAUCGAAAGCUUACAGUUGAUGUUAAUUUAAUGGUACAGUCAACUUUCAAUUAUCCAUGAUGCUGAAAGGGGGUGUGGCAUGGAUAACCAAACUAAUGAAUGGUCUAGAAUACAUUAUACUUUUCCCUCUAAAUUCACCAGGGCUACUACUGCUCCAGUUGUUUCUACAAGUGGCUGAUAUUAAGAUGAUCAUGAAUGUUUCAGGGAAAGGCAUGGUAGUAGCCAGUAGUAGUCAGGCAAUUGUUGCUGCAGUCUGCAUUGUCGUUGCUGUUGUUAGGUGCCUUUGAGUCAGUUCCGACUCGCAGUGACCCUAUGUACAACACUGCAUUAGGUACAGUAUCAUGUUAGCUUAUUUAAAUGUCACAACUACCUGUGAGAUAAGUAGUAUUAACUACAGUUUAUAGAUGAGGAAACAGGUGUGGCGUUGAAACAACUUGUCCAAUGUCAUCUACUGGAAAUUACUAGAAAAGGAACUUGAUGUUUUUUGGACCAUCCCACGUGUCUAGCAGAGGAAAAAGAAAGUGGUUUAAUCUCAACUGAACUGCAGUGUCUUCUGUUCUUAAGAGAACAGUCUAAAUUCUCUUCUGACUGUAUGCCAUUUUAUUUUUUAAGCAAAACUCUUGCUUGAGAUGAAAGGCAUAGUUUGGAAGAAAACAGUAAAAUGGAGAUAAAAUUAACACUACUUUGCUCACAAGAUAAAUAAUUGGGGGUAGGGUGGGGCAGAAAGGCCUAGCAACAAGCUAGCAGAUAAGGUAGGCCCUGUGGAGGUGAGAAUAAAUUUUUUUAUUAGAGGGUUGAUAGAAUUUUUGAGAACCACUCUCCCCCCAAAACAAAAAAAAAACAUUGCCAUCGAGUCAAUUCUGACUCAUAGUGACCCUAUAGGACAGAGUAGACCCCUGGUGGUAUACUGGCUAAGUGCUAUAGCUGCUAACCGAAAGGUCAGCAGUUCGAAUCCACCAGGCGCUCCUUGGAAACUCUAUGGGGCAGUUCUACUCUGUCCUGUAGUGUUGCUAUGAGUCAGAAUAGACUCGAUGGCAACAGGUUUAGUUUGGUUUGGUUUUAUAGAGCUUCCAAGGAGUGGCUGGAGGAUUUGAAUUGCCAACCUUUUAGUUAGAAGCCGUAGCUCUUAACCGCUGCACCGCCAGGGCUCCAAGGGCAUCUGAAAAGUCGUUUACGCUACUAGCAGUGAAGUUCUCCUAUGUAACACACCUUCUUGACUCCAAAUCUUCAGUAAAGAGUGCCACAUACAAAUACCUGGUGGUAGUGUUGUUUCAGGUAGCUGAUCAGCUCCCAUAGGCUUGUUGCAAGCAGGGGGAAGAGAAUCAUUCUGGGAGGCCAGCUGAGGGAGGUGUGGGCAAGGGUUGCCUAUGAGAAUGUAAGUGACUAGAAAUUAAAGAACAGGGCAUUGCGCUUUUCUCUAGGCAUGGAAGAGGGAAGUCAAAUUAAUUUUAUGUAAAUCUCAAAGGAUGGGGUGAAUUCAGCUGACAUGUGCCUUAUACAGACAGCCAGAGAAAACAACUGGUUACCAGCUAGUUAUCAGCUUGCUCUUCAGCCGGCUGAUUUAGAGCUAUGUAGUUAAUCUGUUAACUCAUUCUAGAACUGCUAUGGGGCUCCUGGACCAGUAGCAUGGACACCGCCUGGGAUCUUUUUAGAAAUGCAAAAUUUCAAAUCUAUUGAACCAUCAUUUAAACAAACCCCCAGAAUAUUCCUAGAUAAUUCACAUGCACAUGAAAGUCUAAGACAUGCUGUCCUGGAACACAUUGGUGUUGGGGGUGAAAUGAUGAGAGGCAUGAGUAGAUGGUUAGGUUAAGGGCAUGGUAGGGGAAGUUGAAUUGGGAUUUUAAACUGUCAGGUAUCACUUAGAGUAACUACACAUGAUUUAGAGUUGACUUUGGGGUAUGCAGUCUAUAAAUAUAAUCACCCACAUGACUUACAAGCUUGCUGUAGGCUGAGGGGCUGGGCUUACCUGCCCUUUUUCCAGGCCCUGAGAUCCUUGCCUUCAGAGUCAUGGCCUUUCUCUGGCUGAGCCCUCUUUCAGAUUCUACCUUCCCCCACGCUUCUCUCUAGAAGCCUAGACUUCAGGAGGGAAUAUUUGUUCUCUUUCCUCUUCCUUUUCUUCACUCUUGCAUUUUCGUGGUUGCACUUAUCAUUUAGUUCAUGGGUCACCAUCAUGAGAGAAUUCAGGGAGAGAAGAACAUCACACAGAGAUGUUGGACAUGGAAUGGUGGCAGCAUGACAUUGCCUUGCAGUUAUCUUGACUUGUUCUUCAUUAUGGAGAAAGGGAGUAUGUUUCUAUCAGUGUAUCACGUUAGGUAGAGGGGUACUACUGAAUGCAUUGUGGUGUGUGUGUGUGUUUCUGCUAUGUUGUGUUGUGUUUCCCAUGAUAGGACGCAGGUGAAUAACUUUUGGGGUGCCUGAUCAGCUCAUCAUUCUUUUUUGAGGGGUCAAGCUUCAUGACGCAGUGGAACAGGCAAUUGUGGAUUUGUCCGUACUAUGUGACCCUCUUCCUUUGACCAUAGCUGAGUCAGUCUGACCUCAUCUGGAACAAUUAGUGACCCCUCUUGGGGGAGCUGCAACUUGGAACAAAGAGUCUCUUUGAUUGGGAAUGACUACGCUGAAUCACAUGAUAUGACUUCUGUGCGUCAAGGGGAGCAGGACAAUAGUCAAGGAAUAAUAUCAUCUCCUCCAACUAGCUCAGGCUCCUGUCUUUUUCAUUCAUGAAAUAUUUAUGGAAUAUUUUCUACAUGCUGGCUAGACCCUAGGAACAUUUUGCUUUUGCUCUCUGGGAACUUACCGACUAGAGAAAAAGAUAGAUAUUAAUCAAGUUGUUACUUAAACAAAUGUAAAAUGAUGGUUGCAAUUGAUGGUAUGAAAGAAAGGUGCACAGUCCUAUAAAAACAAAACAAAACCAGUCGCCAUUGAGUCGAUUCUGACUCAUAGCGACGCUAUAGGACAGAGGAGAACUGUCCCGUAGGAUUCCAAGGAGCAGGUGGUGGAUUCUAACUGCCAACCUUUUGGUUUAGCAGCCGAGCUCUUAACCACUGCAACACAGGGCUCCCCAAAAUGCUAAGCAAUGGUAUAAUUCCCUCCCUACUCAGGGAGAUCAAGGAAGGCUCCCUGGGGGAAGAGACAUUGGAACACAGGUCUGAAGAAUGAGUAGGAGUUCACUGGAUGCAUAGGCAGGAGGAGAGGGUGCUUGAGGUAGGGCACAGUGUUUGCAAAGCCCCUGUAUUCGAAAGCAGUAAGGCAGGUUGUAAGAGUUGGAAAUGGACCAGUGGAGCUGAAGCCCAGGCAGCAAAGAGAGGAGGAGGGAAGAGAAUGGAGAAGAAGUUGGCAGAGGACAUAUUAAAAUUUUUUUCUUUCCAUAAUAGCAGUGAGAAGCCACUGAAGUAAUUUAAGCAGGAGAUGGUGGCUGGUGGUGAUCUGAUCAGAUUUGUCCCAGAAUAAGGGAGGAUUAGGAAGAAGUAAUGAAAUACAAAGAGCGAUCUUUGCUGUUUGGUGAGGAAGAUUUAUGUAGGGGCCAGAUGACUUUUAAAGAUCAAGGCAAACCGUGUGGUAACUAAAACUGAACCACUCACCUAGGCAGUCUGUUGCUUUAAAAAGCCACUUUAGAAUGGACUGGAGAUAAAAGGCCACAAGGUGCUAUGACAGGCUCCCUGAAAGACACAGGAAUAGAAUUGUCAGUCAGGGGUAGGUUUUUCAGUGUUAGCAAAUCACAAAAUAUGGGGUGAAUUAUUAUUUUAAAGUAGCCCUGGUGGCACGAUGGUUAAGCGCUCAUCUACGAGUGGAAAGGCUGGUGAUUCAAACCCAUCAGUGGGUUCCAGGGAGAAAAGACCUGGUGAUCUGCUCCUGUAAAGAUCACAUCCUAGGAAAGCAUACGGGGGCAGUUCUACUCUACCGUAUCGGGUCGUUAUGAGCCAGAGUCGACUCCACGGCCCACAACAUUAUUUUUCUUUAAAAAUAAAAUGGGGAGAGAUUUUGUUUGGCAAGGAGAACUGCAACUUCAUUUCUCUCUGCAAAAGUCAAGGUUUGAUCAUUGUUUCAUGCCAGUUAUUUAUGGCUUAGCGACAAUCACACCAUGCCCUUGGCUCUGGCACUGCCUUUGCUCUAUCUCUUGCUGUCCCCUGAAUUUAUUGAUUUCAUUAGAAGAUAAGAGUGACAAAGAUGGCUUAUAAUAUUUCAGAGAAAUGUAAAACCAUUAGCAGGUCAUUGUUGAAGUUAGAGCAUGCCCUGAUAAGCUCCUUAGGAAACCAGUGGCAGCCAAUGAUACAGGGAUUAAUCUGCUUGGAAGGUGUGUGUGUGUGUGUGUGUGUGUGUGUGUGUGUGUAUGUGUGUGUGUGUGUGCAUGUGUAUACAGGCCAGGCACCGAGUGUGCCAUGCAGAAUUUGUAUACGGUAAGCUUCGUCAAUGAAGUGAUGGAUAGGUAGGUUAUUGACAAAAACAGUUAUUAUUAUCUUGCCUUUCCUUUUUCUGUCUUCCUUGGUUUGAGUCUCCAGUUCAAAGUGCAUCUGUUUGACAUUAGGGCUGCAUUUGGGUGGGCAGGGGAGGAGGCUCUCUGGGCCUGGCCUCUGCUAACUAGCUGGAGUCACAGACUGUGAUUAGAGUGACCAUCAGCCGCCCUUGAGAGGUCAACCAGUGACCAGCAGGUAGUGUAGUGUGAUAUGAUGUGGCCAUUGCUUCAGAGCUAUUGCUGCCUCCUCUACGCAGGAGAAGCAAUCAGAGGGUUGAUCUCUCCUGAUCUUUUCCUCAUGCAAUAAGAAGGGACAUGGGGUGGCUAAUUACUGUGUGUUGUUAUCAUUGUGGAAAGCCUGGAGGCGUAGUGGUUAAUUACUGCAGCUAUUAACCAAGAGGUUGGGAGUUCAAAUCCGCCAGGUGCUCCUUGGAAACUCUAUGGGGCAGUUCUACUCUGUGCUAUAGGGUCGCUAUGAGUCGGAAUCGACUUGACGGCAGUGGGUUUGGUUUUUUGGUUGGUUAUCAUCGUUGUUGGAUGCCGUAGAGUGGAUUCCGGCUGAUAGAGGUCCCAUGUAAUGGGGUAGAUCUGCCCCCAUAGGGUUUUCUUGGCUGUAAGCUUCAUAGAAGCAGAUCACCAGGUCUUUCUCUCAUGGGUUCCAACAGCCAACUUUUAGUUAGCAGUAUUGUGUCACCAGGGCUCUUUAAUUAUUGUGUAGAGGGUUGUUACUGUUAACUCUUGAGAAGAUCCUUAAAAAAAUAUUAAAGAUAUUUUUUAACUUUCGAGAUGGUUAAUACUUUUCAAGAGGUGUGAUGGUUAAUUGCAUGUGCUAACUUGGUUAGGAUAAGGUAUCUAAUUGUUUGGUGAAACACUAGCCUAGUUGCUGUUAUGAAGUAAUUAAACCAAACCAGUUGUUUUCUGGUCAUUUCCUACUCAGGGUGUGCCCAUGUGUGCCAGAGAAGAACUGUGCUCCAUAGGGUUUUCAAUGGCUAAUUUUUUGGAAGUAUAUCACCAGGUGCCUCAGGGUGGACUUGAACCUCCAAUCUUUAAGUUAGCUGCUGAAUCUGUUAACUGUUUUCAUCACCCAGGGACUCCCAUGUAGUUAUUAAAAACCCAAAACCCAAACCCAUUGCCCUUGAGUCCAUUCUAACUCGUAGCAACCCUGUGAAGUGAUUAUGUGUGAUUAAAUCAGUUGGCCUUAAGUGAAGCCAAUUGAUUACCCUCCAUAACGUGGGUGGGCCUUAUCCAAUCAGUUGAAGCUCUUAAAAACAAAGAUGGAAUUUUCCAUAGGGUAUAUUCUGCUUCCAGACUAUAAAUAGACAUCUUUUUGGAAAUACUUCAGUCUUCCUGUAGGUGCCUUAGGGACAGAUUUUAGGAUUGAAGCCUCUGGGCAUCUCCAGCCUGUAACCUGACUUACAGAUUUUGGACUUGCCAGCUUUCACAACUGCAUGUGCCAGUUCCUUAAAAUAAACCCUGCUCUUUCUCUCUCUUUUCAUAUGUACAUGUGCGUAUAUGGAACUAAUUCUCUCUCCCUAGGGAGCCUUGAUUAAGCUAAGACAGGUGGUUGGAAAGCAGAGAGAUUAUUUACGUGAGCCUCCGUUGCCUUGUUUGUCCAGUUUAGUGCUAGCGCGCACAGUAACAGUUAGCUGAUACCUGAUAUGGAUGUCUCAGAAGGUCACAGGUUGAGGGCUUUUGAGUCAUUAUUUGAUGCAAAGGUGUGGAGGUGUUACACUCAGAGGAAGGUGAGUGUCUGCUCACGUUUCUGAGUCCAGGGCAAGAAGAAAUGGACUCCAAGUACAACCACCAAAUGGUCUCACACAGAGGAUGGACAAGGAUCCAUGGAAUCCCUUGUGGGCCCCAGAUAACCUGCCUAACAGGCUUCCUCCUCACCCGCCUAAAGGUAGGGAGAGGAUCACGGGCUCCCUGAAGACCUUCUUUUCUUGAGGGUGUGAUUUCAUAAAAUAGGAUUGUUUUAAUUAUUCAGCUAACCGUUCAUGUACUGACAUUUUUCAAAGUAUGAGCUAUAGGAUUAAGAAAUUGAAACCUGAGAGUAAACCUCUACCCAUGCUGGUAAAAAAAAAGCAGUAUAAAAAACAAACCCAUUGCUGUUGUUGAGUCGAUCCCAACUCAUAGCAAUCCUGUAGGACACAGCAGAAGUGCCCCAUAGGGUUUCCAAGGAGCAGCUGGUGGAUUUGAACUGCUGACCUUUUGGUUAGCAGCCGAGGUCUUAACCGCUGAAUCACCAGGGCUCUGGUAGCACUGUGUCAUCUAAAAAUCAGCAGAGAUACGGAAAUAUGUGGCUCUAAAAACAAACAAAAAAAUCAGAUUGCCAUCGAGUCAAUUCCGUCAUCCCACGUGUGCAGAGUAGAACUGCUCCAUAGGGUUUUCAUAGCUGUGAUUGUCAGGCCUGCCUUCUGGGGCACCUUUGGGUGGGUUCGAACCUCGAACCUUUUAGUGAAGUAGCCAAGUUUUUAACUGUUAGCACCUUACGGGCACUCCUAUGUGGUUCUAACACUGACCACAUUCAGAAAGGGCCUUCAGUGGUUUGCUUAAGUGCUCUCAGACCUCUUCUCUGCUUGCAAACUGGGAAUAAUAAUAACAAGCCUAUUUCUCAUAUAUGGUGGCUAUGAGACCAAGAAAAUACCAUCUGCUAAAAGGCACUGAAAAACCUCAAGGGCAGUACAAGCCUGGCUAAUUAUUAGGCGUAUAAGAAGUAUAAGGAGAGUGGAGGGAUCUAGAAUGCUCAUCUGUUGUCAUAAGCUUUCUAUUAUUUUAUGUUUUCUACUGUGGACAUUCUGUUUCUGAGGCCUAAGCAACUCCCAUAGGUAAAUUGAAGAAAAGGGUCAAAUUUUAUGCACUAAUUUGAAAGCACUGCAUAGGAAUUUUCUUCCUAAUAAUACGAGAAUAUUGCAGUCUUCAGUUUCAAAUAGGAUGAUUUACUGGAGUUGUGUUGCCAGAUGACAUACAGAAUGCAGGUUAAAUUUGAAUUUCAGAUAAACGAAGUAGCACCAACUGAGUGGCCAAAACAAUAGAAAUGUUUUCUCUUGUAGUUCUGGAGGCUGAAAGUCUUGAAUCAAGGUGUUGUCAAGGCUGGUUCCUUCUGGAGGCUCUGAGGGAGAAUCAUUCCUCAGUCCUAGCUUCUCAUGGUUUCCCACAUCCUUGGUGUUGCCUAGCUUGUAAAUAGAUGUGUUUCCAAUUUCUGCAUCUGUCUUCCCAUGGCUGUCUUCUCUGUGUCUUUUCUCCUCUUUUCAUGAGGACACCAGUCAUAUUUGAUUAGAGUCCAUCCAAUUCCAGUGUGAUGGACUUCAUCUGCAAGAACAAUUUCCAAACCAGGCCACAUUCAGAGAUACUGGAGGUCAGGACAUGUAUCAACCUAUAACAAACAACAAAUAAUUUUUGAGUAUUGUUUUUGUUGUUGUUUGCUGUCGUUAAGUCGGCCCCUGACUCACGGCUAUCCCAUGUGCAAUGGGAUAGGGCCAUUGUGAUCCAAAGGGUUUUCGCUGGCUGAUUUCCCAAAGUAGAUUGCCAGACCUUUCUUCCUAGUCCAUCUUAGUCUGGAAACUCUGCUGAAACCUGUUCAACAAUCUAGGAACAUGCAAGCCUCCAAUGACAGAUGGGUGAUGGUUGCCCUUGAGGUGCAUUGGCCAAGAAUGCACCUUAAAUAUUUCAUGGAACAUGCUUAUACUGAAAAAAUUAUUUGUCAUUUAUGGGAAAUUCAGAGUUAACUGAGUGUCCUGUAUAUUUAUUUGCCAAAUUUGGCAAUCCUGUGCUAGAGAUAUGGACUUAAAGCACACACAAAAUCUAACCAAACCCAUUGCCAUGGGUUCCAUUCCAACUCAUAGCGACCCUAUAGGACAGGGUAGAACUACCCCACAGAGUUUCUAAGGAGUGGCUGGUGGAUUCAAACUGCUGACCUUUCAGUUAGCAGUCGAUCUCUUAACCACUGCCUCACCAGGGCUCCAAAGGACACACAAGGGAGUGAAAUUCCAUUCCCACAUUAGCAUGUUGGCUGAAAGAAUGAAUGAAAGAUAUACAAAAGGCUCAAUGAGCAGCACAGCAAGGCGGGGCCAGCACUGAUGUAAAAAGUAGAAUUCUAUUCCCAACCUGCCGUGACUGAUUGGGCAUGGCUGCACAAAUCAUGAUCAAUUUCUAGGCCUUCCUUUUCUUGAAUGGAGGGUGUGGCUGCCUUAUUAAUCCAGUACUGCUAUAACAGAAAUACCACAAGUGGGCAGCUUUAACGAACAGAAAUUUAUUUUCUCACAGUUUAGGAGGCUAGGAGUCCAAGUUCAGGGCGUCAGCUUCAGGGGAAAGCUUUCCCUUUCUGCCGGCUUUCUGUUUCCCUGUUCCUUGGAGAUCUCAUGUGGCCUGGCUUCUAUUCUCCCCCAUCUCUGCUUGCUUGCUUGGUUGCUUGCUCAAUCUGCUCUUUUUAUAUCUCAAAAGACAUGGAUUUAAGACGUAUCCUACACUAAUCCUGCCUCAUUAACAUAACAAAGAAAACCCAUUCCCAAAUGGGAUUAUAACCACAGCUCUAGGGGUUAGGAUUUACAGCACAUAUAUUUGGGGGACACAGUUCAAUCCAUCACAGUGGCCCUUAUGGCUCUAACUGAAUCCUUCAAGUAAUCAACCUAAACCCUGAAUGAGCUAAUGACCUUCCUAUGGAUAUUGCAUUUCCUUCCUAUGGAAAAACCCUCUGCAAAUGUCAGUGGUUCAGUGAGGCCUAUAGAAGUCAAGUCCCCAGUCUGAGAUUGGUGGGAGCUCAUGAGGCUGCUGGGAGGAAAUCCAAGGCUGCUUCGGGGGCUCCUGAAUCAGCAUAUCUUUGAAUCAGGUGUCCUCACAUGGUUUGAACAGAUCCCCAAAAGCCCUGUUUGGCAUUGUAGGUACGGUGUGAUGGUCCGGGGGAGCUUCUGUACCAAUUCAUUGCCACCUAAGAGGCUCACAGUGAGGCAGCACUGCAGGGAGUCGAGGAACCUGGGUUCUAGUCCCAGCUGCUGUGACUCUGUGCCCUGUGGCUCUGGGCAAAGUACUCUGUAUUUUAGUCUCCUUAAAAAAAAAAAAAAAGUGGCACAGUGGUUAAGUACUUGGCUGCUAACCAAAAAGUCAGCAGUUUGAAUUCACCAGCCACUCCUUAGAAACCCUAUGGGGCAGUUCUACACUGUCCUUUAGGGUUGCUGUGAGUCACAAUUGACUUGACAGCAAUGGUUUGGUUUUUUUAGUUGUGAAAGUGGCCACUUCAGUGGUGUGAACAGUUAAGUUCUUGGCUACUAAAGAAAAGGUUGGCAGUUCUAGUCCUCCCAGAGAUGCCUCAGAAGAAAGGCCUGGUAAUAUGCUUCUGGAUAACAGCCAUUGAAAAUCCUAUGGGGUACAGUUCUAUUCUGACAUACAUGGGGUUACCAGGAGUUGCAAUAGAUUCUAUGGCAACUGUGUUUUUUUUUUUUUUUAGUUGUAAAAUGUGGAAU